UAUAUAUAUAUAUAUAUAUAUAUAUAGAUAGAUAGAUAGAUAGAUAGAAGAGCUUCAGAAUAUAUCAGGUACUGGUCAAAAAUUCUCAUCGAAAUUCCAACAUAACUCAUUCUGCAUUAUAGACGCAAAAAUUUUGUUCAUGUUUUGGAUUUUUUUUUUUUGAGAUAAGUUUUGGAUAACAAAUUGCAGAAAGUUAUCUGCCACUCGUACAAACAAGCUACAAGCUAUGACAGCCAUGGCAUUUCACAGAAACUGGAUUGAACACUCCUGGUGGAAGUCACUUGGUUCCAGAAAAAGGAUAUUGUAUACUUGGAGUUGCAAAAAUAAUAUUAUAAUCAAAUAGGAAAUUUUGUUUCACAUUCUGAUUUGGAUAAUUUGAUUAUAUUAGAAAUUAAUUAGGAAAUAUUACCCCAAAUCAUAAUAGAAUAAUGGAACCCUCCAGGGAGCUGUUAUCUGGUAAUUAAUUCUCUUACUAAUCCUUGUGGAUUAAAUGAAAGCUUUAUACCAGGACGUGUUACAUCCUGCGUGUCACCUCUCCUCUGACUAGAUAUCGAUGUUUGUUUUGUGUAUGCUGGACUCAUCUCCAAAAGUAGAUCUUUCUAUUAGUAUACUAACUCUCAUAGCAAGAUACUAAAUCUCUGCUACAAGCUGACAAGCAUACUAUAUAUGCAAGAAUAUCUUAUCCAAUCUAGUAGAACUAGAUCAGUACUGUCAGCACAAAAUUUCUUAUGCCGCUUUUUUGUCCCCAAC
rnacentral:lncRNA from 1 species